rnacentral:rRNA from 1 species
ACUCCUACGGGAGGCAGCAGUGGGGAAUAUUGCACAAUGGGGGAAACCCUGAUGCAGCCAUGCCGCGUGUGUGAAGAAGGCCUUCGGGUUGUAAAGCACUUUCAGUAGGGAGGAAGGUAGUGUAGUUAACACCUGCAUUAUUUGACGUUACCUACAGAAGAAGCACCGGCUAACUCCGUGCCAGCAGCCGCGGUAAUACGGAGGGUGCGAGCGUUAAUCGGAAUUACUGGGCGUAAAGCGCAUGCAGGCGGCCUGUUAAGUCAGAUGUGAAAGCCCGGGGCUUAACCUCGGAAUUGCAUUUGAAACUGGCAGGCUAGAGUCUUGUAGAGGGGGGUAGAAUUUCAGGUGUAGCGGUGAAAUGCGUAGAGAUCUGAAGGAAUACCAGUGGCGAAGGCGGCCCCCUGGAC